CUGAUCUAGCCUACGCUAUUAAAUAAUUAUGACCCAUUAAUUACUAAGGAGAAUAAAAUUAACCAUUAACCUAAAACCUAGACAAAUCAAAUUAACCGAAAUCGUUUAAAUACUCAUGCCCAAACAAACGAACGCUGUUAAGAAAAAAGUGAAACAAUUACACCAGGCAGCCAAUACGUCCAGUGCACCGUCAUCCCAGCGGAAUGGAGGAAUGCGCAAGCUGAGUGAGAGUCACGCAGUUCAUAGCCUACGGCCUAGGAGAGGAGUUCUGCGAGAAGAUAUUUGCAAUACAUUAAAACAUUCUCGACUGUAUAAGUUGUCAUCGCAUUACUUUAUGACUAUUUCCGGGUGAGAUCACGGCUAGGUUCGAGUGUCUGUGAGCUGAACUGUUCGCGAAAUAGCGGAUACGUGUGGAAAGGGAGGGUGUUCAAAGCAAACAGGGAAAAAACUGAGCGAUCGCUUGUUUCGCUCAGCCAGCUGAAAGAAGCAGGAAGCGGAUCAAAUCAGUUCACCUGUCGAAGGAGAGACGAACUGGUGUCGUACAUUUGAGCCCAGUGGAACACUCUGUACGGAAGUGUCAGAUGCAGCAUCCUCUUCAUCCGAUCAUGGAACCAGCUAUGAAAUAAAAACUGCAGAGACAGCAGGUGAGUAAGUGGGCGCAUUUGUGUUCAUGUGUUCAUUUUUAUAGGGAUCAGACCAUAGAUCGUGCUGAAAAAAGCAUGCUAAAUUACCAUAAAUCGCAGGAAAUGUGCUUAAUUUACACUUAUCACACAUAAACACAAUCUAAAUAUCAUAUAAUAGGUCUGCUCGUACUGAACACUUUGCCACAAAAAUCACUGCUGUCAUUCAAACCAUUUCAAACAUGUCUCUGUUUUUUUUUUUUUUUUUUUUUGCUCAAUCUGAGUAAACACGUGUAGUAUGAAUCUCUGACUUGCCUAGAUCAAUAAUCAUUGAGGAACAUUUAGCUUUCCCCUUUGGAUAGCUGGCUAUAACACUGUCACCAGUGUAACAGGCUCAAUUACAGAAGGGUCUUUAUAGACCUACAUGCCUGUAAAGACAUAAAGAAAAGUCAAAGCUUCAUGCAAUGAGAAGAGCAGCACCCUCGCUCUCUAUCUAGCUGUCUCAUGCUCUCGUUCAUAGAGGACGAACUGUAGCAUAUGGAGAAAAGGCUGUAUUUCAUUUUUAUGUGACUAAGAGAAACAGUUUUAGUUUUGGUUGUGGUUUUGACAUUCUAUCAUAGUAAUACAACUGGUUAUUUGUUUUUCUGUUUGAAUGGUGGAAUGACAGAAGGAAGUAUGUGUAGAAUGAUAGUAGGCCUGCAUAGUACUGCAAUGAGCAAUGUAGUGAGAAUGUGGCAUGUUGUCCAAGUGUAUUAUAAACAGUUCCUGUUUCGCAGAAUCAGAUAGGAAAAUUAGUAUGUGGGUUUCCCAUUUGCCCAUUAGAGUGCAAGAAAGCCUAUAGUUCAUGUAUUUAUUCAUUUUUAUACUUUUUACAUAGUGAUAAUCUUUAUGUGACCUCUUUUGAACCUAGCACUGUGUGUGUGUGUGUGUGUGUGUGAGGGGGUGUGCACCCCUAUCAAGCUUUUUAGUACAGAGGUCUUUUGUUUCCCUGUGGUAAUGAAACUAACACAAGUGUAUUCUCUUGCUCAACGAAGCAAUUCAUUUUCACAACAUGACAACAUGGGAGGUUUUAUGUUGCCCUAGCAUCACACUUCAUCAGAAAUAGAGGAAGUGUCAUACAACUGAUAUCCUGUGUUAUUUCCUAAUCUUUACAUGGUGAAAUAACAGUCAGUUAUGACAGUAGAAGCAAAAGUUCUAGAUGCAUCGUGUCACUAAUUCUGUACACUGCAAAAAUUAUUUUUUUUGCUUAGAUUUUUUGUCUUGUUU